CUGUGUGCCUGACACUGGGCCCAUCGCUUUAAGAAGAAAUAACAGGCCCCCUUUGCAGCAUGCUCUAUCACGAGAUUCUCUCUCCCGUAGGGAGAUAGGAGCACUUCUAUUUUAUAAGUGAAGAAACUGAGGCUGAGAAAGCCUUCCAGCAAACCCACUGCUGCUCCCGCUGUUGCUUCUGGAAGACUGUCCUUAAAGAAAGGAAAGAACCAGAAGGAACCUCAAAGGCCUUCGCAUCCACCUGUUACCACUUCCACGGGCUGAGCUAGACCCCUCUGGCCAUGGCUAUGGAAGAGUCAAGGACAGCUGGAAUCCACCCAACUUUUACCAAUAAUUCACCACCGUGAGACCUUGA